rnacentral:tRNA from 1 species
UGAUAUAUAGUUUAAUAAAACUUUGGUCUUGUAAGUCAAAAAUAGCGACAGCUUUUAUCAA